GAUGAACGCUAGCGAUAGGCUUAACACAUGCAAGUCGAGGGACCGGCGCGCGGGUGCGUAACGCGUAUGCAACUUGCCUCACAGAGGGGGAUAACCCGUCGAAAGACGGACUAAUACCGCGUACUGUGAGCUAGGCAUGCGUCCCAUUAGCUAGUUGGUGAGGUAACGGCUCACCAAGGCAACGAUGGGUAGGGGAAAUGAGAGGUUGAACCCCAAUAAUGGUACUGCGACACGGACCAGACUCCUACGGUAGGCAGAAGAGAGGAAUAUUGGUCAAUGGGCGAGAGCCUGAACCAGCCAAGUCGCGUGAAGGGUGACUGUCUAUGGAUGGUAAACUUGUUUUGUAGGGGAAUAUGUACCCUAGGAAUAAGCAUCGGCUAACUCCGUGCCAGCAGCCGCGGUAAUUC
rnacentral:rRNA from 1 species